CUGCUACUCCUUCCGUUCCAAAUUACUUGUCUUGGAUUUGUCUAGAUACGGAUGUAUCUAGACUAAUUUUAGUGCUAGAUACCUCCGUAUCUAGACAAAUCUAAAACAAGGAAUUCAGAACGGAGGGAGUACAAC
rnacentral:pre_miRNA from 1 species